GCCGCUUCGGUCGGUGGUUCGGACUGCUGCGUUUGCCGGGCGAAGGCGGGCGGGGUGAGCUCGGUCCACGCGUUCGCGUCGCGUGUGCGGCACCA
rnacentral:tRNA from 1 species